GUCCGGCCUUCUCUGUCUUUGAGCGUGGGGGCCCCGGCUAGGCGCAGGUAUCUGAGGGUUCCCGGGGGCGGACACAAACUUGCUCGGGAGAGGUUGGCACCUAGGUGUCGCGGUUCCUAAGCCCACCAAAGGGACUGAGUCUCAGAGCGUAACGUCAGACCCAGUUUGCCUUCUGGGGAAAGCUGGCCCAAGUGAGUCACCCAAUCCAUCCAUCGUGCCCGAGGGAUUACUACCAGAGUGGAGAAGUGUCAGGGCCAGGACCUGGAAGUUUCAUCUCUCCGGUACUCUAGGUACUUCAAAUAAGGCAUUGCUAAAUCCUAGGAUUUAGACUUUAAUUUCUUGCUGUUAUGUCCGGGGUUGGCGACGUUGAAUGGGUGGGACCUUCAUCAUUUAUGUGUAGUGUUACUCAACUCCUGUUUUCCUUUAGCCCACGAGAAGUCAGGUUGGUCUAACCGACCUAAACCUUGGACAGGUACUUGGUGCCUUCAUAGUCUUCUUUGAAAGGCAGAUAGAAGUGCAAUAAUUGCUUGGCUUUCACACCGUCUUUGGACAAGGCUCUCCAUAACAGGAAAGAUCUGCUCGUGUUGUCUGAGCUCAGGACCCAAAUCAGCUACUUUGAGGAGAGAACUUGACCAUUCCCCCUCAGAAUUCUUCCAUUCAUGUCUCUCUAAGGGAGGAGUGACUUAUGUAAUUGGCAGACGGUGAUUCAGUCGUGUGUUGCAGCACUGCUUCUAAGGAUAAAAGCCAGGAAACAAUCGACUCUUGGAUUUGUAAGAGACUGAGGAUAUACAAGGGCAGGAAUCUCCAAGAUGAAUAAUAAAGGAAAGCAGAAAAGGAGUUUAUAUAAGAGACAUUUACAUAUGAUAAAAGAAGCAAGCCAGCAACGGUAAAAUCACACCAAAACUACGAAGGGGAAGGGAAGGGUCAAGGCAGGGACGGGAAUGGCUGAGCACUGCAGGCAGGAGAGGAGAGCCUUUGAGGUCUUCACCUGAGAGCCCUCAAGCUUUGGGAGCAAAUUAUCUAUCUUAAAAAUUAGGUAUUAGGACAACAGCAGAGUAGCUUUGAUGCAAUCAUUUCUCAAUUACACUGUACAAAUAAGACAUCACUGGAUUAAUGAUUAAAAGGAAAGCACAUCUGGAUCAGCACAGAAGGUGACAGCCACAGUGGCUAUUCCAGGUGUCCCAGACAUCACCUAUGUCUGUAGGAGGC
rnacentral:sRNA from 1 species